rnacentral:rRNA from 1 species
UACGUAGGGUCCGAGCGUUGUCCGGAAUUACUGGGCGUAAAGAGCUCGUAGGUGGUUUGUCGCGUUGUUCGUGAAAACUCACAGCUCAACUGUGGGCGUGCGGGCGAUACGGGCAGACUGGAGUACUGCAGGGGAGAUUGGAAUUCCUGGUGUAGCGGUGGAAUGCGCAGAUAUCAGGAGGAACACCGAUGGCGAAGGCAGAUCUCUGGGCCGUAACUGACGCUGAGGAGCGAAAGCGUGGGUAGCAAACAGG